CCUACGGGAGGCAGCAGUGAGGAAUAUUGGUCAAUGGACGAGAGUCUGAACCAGCCAAGUAGCGUGAAGGAUGACUGCCCUAUGGGUUGUAAACUUCUUUUAUAAAGGAAUAAAACGAGGCACGUGUGCCUUUUUGCAUGUACUUUAUGAAUAAGGAUCGGCUAACUCCGUGCCAGCAGCCGCGGUAAUACGGAGGAUCCGAGCGUUAUCCGGAUUUAUUGGGUUUAAAGGGAGCGUAGAUGGGUUGUUAAGUCAGUUGUGAAAGUUUGCGGCUCAACCGUAAAAUUGCAAUUGAUACUGGCAGUCUUGAGUACAGGUGAGGUAAGCGGAAUUCGUGGUGUAGCGGUGAAAUGCUUAGAUAUCACGAAGAACACCGAUUGCGAAGGCAGCUUACUAAACUGUGACUGACAUUGAUGCUCGAAAGUGUGGGUAGCAAACAGGAUUAGAUACCCUGGUAGUC
rnacentral:rRNA from 1 species